CAGGUGAGGAAGGCACAGUGUUUCCCCGACACAGCUGUGUGUGUCUGUGUGUUAUCUCUCAGGAACACUACGCC